GUGCAAAGAAUUACGUUAAAAUCAAUGUUUUCAAAAAAGGCAUACAAAAGUGUAGCUAGGGUUCCCUGUGUCUGUAGUAUAUUUAUUUACUUGUAUUUCACGUUUUAAUGCCACAAUUCCCUAAAAAGAUCGGUGACCCCCGUUUUUUAACUGAUAAUUUAUUUCCUUAAUGCAUUUUACAUUUCAUAUCCGAAAUUAAAAGAAAAAUCAUUUCUGGAUCUUGAAA